UGCCAGCGUGGACGGGCACACACGUUCACCUCCUUGGCCCUCUUGCGGGUUCUGAGCAGCCGGCUGACUUAGCGCCGGGCCUGCAGGCUAGAUUGGCAGGGCCUGAAGAGCCAGAUCCUGAGGCCCAGCCAGAGGACACCGCGCGGAGAACAUGGGCUUCACCUUGGAGCCAGAGCCAGGUUGCUGGGGGGAGGAGUGUGGGUGCAGAGAACUCCAGAGAAUGGUCCUCCCUGUUCUCCUCCUUCCUGCGGGAAGGAGACUCCAGAAUCUCGAAGUACAGGUGGAACGCAUCCCAGAGGGGACUCCAAUGGGACUCCAAGGGGAGUGUGGCCCUUGGGAGCCUCGGGGACCCAGCCACUGCCAUCCCUGACCUCGGAGCCCACGGGCUCCUUUUCCCCAUUGCUUCUGCCUCUCAGACUGAAGACUGUGUCUCCCCACACGUCUUCGUCUCCUGGCAGGCUCCUCUUGGUUCUCUCCCCAACCCAGUGUCAAUCCCACUGUACCACUGCUAACUGAGAUGGACUGAGCCAUACUUUCCACGGGAUCAGGAGGGCCUGCCAGGGAAGCCCAACAGGGCCUCUCCGGGAAGUCCAGAGAAUCUUGACCCGUUUCAGGAAUCCAGGUCGGUGGGCAAGGGAGCGUCCAAGGAGCCACGCCACCAGCAUGGCCCUCACGGCUGGGUCUGCACCCGGCCUCGUCAAGCCCCGGAACGCGUAGCUGUGCCAAAAAGUAGAGCAACGUGCGGUGACCGACGUGGACGUGUCAGGCACACGAGGGCCAGUUUGAAAGGCUUCCCGCUGGCCAAAUCAAGGAAGGAGAGUGUUGGUCAUCUUACCUGUGGACUCAGAGCUAGAAUCCAGAACCCGCUUGGAAUCCACUUUUUAAAGCCUGGGAUCAGAACCCCUAGGACGGGGCAUUUCUCCACCAUGCGCCCACGGGACCAGAGGAUGCUGAAAUCGCUGGGCAGUGGACCACACGAACCAAGGUGACAAAUCCUUGCAAGUAACCCCGCAAAGAAGAAGAAAAGGGGCUUUUUCCAUUAAAAACAGCUGCCGGGCCUGGCUGAACAAUGCACUUCAACUACAGUGCCAACGGAGAAAAAGGGAGAAAAAGCAAAAAAAUCGCUGGGCAGUGGACCACACGAACCAAGGUGACAAAUCCUUGCAAGUAACCCCGCAAAGAAGAAGAAAAGGGGCUUUUUCCAUUAAAAACAGCUGCCGGGCCUGGCUGAACAAUGCACUUCAACUACAGUGCCAACGGAGAAAAAGGGAGAAAAAGCAAAAGAACCACGCUGUGAAUCCGCAGGAUCAAGGCGCACCCGUAGGAAUAGGAAAACCACAAACCACGACUCAGCACACCCGAAAGAAUACAAGAGAAACCUUCCUUUGAGAAACCAGAAACGCCAGGGGAAAGCGCGAACGCAGUCCCCCACUACCACAAAUUAUGCAGUCGAGUUUCCCACAUUUGGGGAAAUCGCAGGGGUCAGCACAUCCGGAGUGCAAUGGAUAAGCCUCGCCCUGGGAAAACCACCUUCGUGAUCAUGGUAUCUCCCCUGCCAGGUAA